UUUCAAGCAUUUUGGAAGUUCUGACAAAAAAUGUUGAAAAUGGUUAAAAUUCAACCGCAGUAUGUAAGAAAAAACAGUUGCCAUCUUUGGACGCGCAGAAACUUUUUUGUAUUUUAAUGUUGUGCGUCGGAUUGACUGAUUAUUUCAGUUAUUUUUUCACUCCAAUUACCUGAUUACCUAACAAUAAGGAAAUUGCCCACUAUUGUACAAUGGGUCACCGGCUGCUCCGCAUUGAUCCGGAUCGGGAGCUUCCAGUAGAAUCCUGCAGUAGCAGGCAAUAGCAAAACCAGCGACAACGAUGCGAAAGGAGGCAAACUUUCCGAUAAGGAUGAUUCCAAUUCCAAUAGCGGAGGUGGUCCCAAAUUCCAUCCGAGAUCAUUGCUGUUCCUCUGCUGAACACCGGAGGGGAUACGAAAACGGUGUUUUUUUGCUUGAGACCAGUAUGCUUAGAUUGUGGCAUUUUCCAAAAGCAAUGAUAAGAAAAGCAUUUCCUCUCGUUCAGCGGUCUAUCUGGUUCGAGAAGCUGCAAUUGAAUUAAGGCACUAAACCAUGGGAGAAGCUGCCCCCGGAUCGGGUGCUUCUUAAUUACCGGAAAGCAGCGGGGCUUCAUUCGUAAAUGAUGGCAACAGACGAGGCAAUCAGGACAAAUUCUAUAAGGAUUACAAUUACGAUAACCAUGUUUUACAAUAAAACCUCUAUUUAUUAAAUUCAGAUUGAUUCUUGUCAUUCUACGUUCAUUCGGAUCAUUUUUCCCUGAAUUUCUGCUAAUUUUUUCUUUUUUUAUAAUGCUUGAAAAAUAACCAUUAUCGAAGUUCUCCUCAGAA